rnacentral:lncRNA from 1 species
AGAGAGAGACAUCACGAUACCAGAGCUAGUUAUGAUUUUUACACUUCAAACGUGAAGAAACGGACGGAGGAAAACGAAAACAUCGCUGAGAGGAAAAUCAACCUCCGCUGCAACCUCCUCCGACAAACGGCCCAACCCACCAAGCCGGCGAAAGCAAGCGACUUCUCUAGACCUCGGAGAAACCGUCGUAGAUCUCUGACGAGAAACAUCUCCACCGCCAUCGAGCAGAGCAUACCACCACCGUCAUCUCCCAAAAAACACCUCGAAAACGAUGAAAAC